UGCCUCACAUAGGCCCAGGUCCACCCUGUACAUCAUGGGUUGGAUUUCGAGUUUUUCAAAGCAAUGAGUGGGAAGCUCGAAGGAUACCAGCGCCAAUACUGUUAGUUCUCCGCAAAUCUUUCCAGAAAUGCAACUCUACUUCUCUCCUUUCCGAUACAGAUCAGAAGAAGGAAAAGGUUUUGGAGGUAGGAUCGUGAAGUAACAGGGUAGUAACAAGAGAACCAAUGAAUCAACUUGAGGCAGUGCAAAAAGCUAAGGGCAUUUUUGUCAUUUUUUAUGUUGGUCAAUGUUUAUGUAUUUAUGGGAUUAUUUAUAUUUUCUUCAUGCACUGAUUAAAAUGAUUUGAUUUUUCAAACUUAUGUACUUUGUUUUAUGAAAUAAUAAUAAUAUGCACUUUUGGGGAUUAUGGGAUGUUAAUUAAAUACU